rnacentral:rRNA from 1 species
AUGGCUCGUAAGCAGCUGAAUAUGACCGUGUCAGUCGGCGGUCGAGCAGACAGCAGCAACUGCGCUGCUCCUACUCGUUGGAGUGGCGCCCGUGGCAACACCACCGCCGCGGCCGCGCACCUGCCGGCCUCGGGAACCUCCAUGGCUGACCUCACACAGCGCCGCCCCGUUUUGGCCUCAAACGCGCAGUCCCGCGCCAUUCCUCUCCACCUUGCACCGCCGUGGCCUGUACUCCCAGGAGUGAAUUGCAGAAAACAUCCACAUUUAAGAUUAGGGUUGCAGAAACCACACUUUUACAGUUUUAUGCCAAAAAUCACUAAUUCUGAGGUUAAUUUUUUGCAAAUGACACUAAGUGGCCUAUUUGUCCGUUUUAUUGACAAUUAUGACAGAUAG